AACGAACGCUGGCUGCAUGCCUAACACAUGCAAGUCGAACGAGACCUUCGGGUCUAGUGGCGCACGGGUGCGUAACGCGUGGGAACCUGCCCUUAGGUUCGGAAUAACUCCCCGAAAGGGGUGCUAAUACCGGAUAAUGUCUUCGGACCAAAGAUUUAUCGCCUUUGGAUGGGCCCGCGUUUGAUUAGCUAGUUGGUAGGGUAAAAGCCUACCAAGGCGACGAUCCAUAGCUGGUCUGAGAGGAUGAUCAGCCACACUGGGACUGAGACACGGCCCAGACUCCUACGGGAGGCAGCAGUGGGGAAUAUUGGACAAUGGGCGAAAGCCUGAUCCAGCAAUGCCGCGUGAGUGAUGAAGGCCUUAGGGUUGUAAAGCUCUUUUACCCGGGAUGAUAAUGACAGUACCGGGAGAAUAAGCUCCGGCUAACUCCGUG
rnacentral:rRNA from 1 species